rnacentral:rRNA from 1 species
AACGAACGCUGGCGGCAGGCCUAACACAUGCAAGUCGAGCGAACCCUUCGGGGUUAGCGGCGGACGGGUUAGUAACGCGUGGGAAUAUACCCUUUGGUACGGAAUAGCCUCGGGAAACUGAGAGUAAUACCGUAUGUGCCCUUCGGGGGAAAGAUUUAUCGCCAAAGGAUUAGCCCGCGUUGGAUUAGAUAGUUGGUGGGGUAAUGGCCUACCAAGUCUACGAUCCAUAGCUGGUUUGAGAGGAUGAUCAGCAACACUGGGACUGAGACACGGCCCAGACUCCUACGGGAGGCAGCAGUGGGGAAUCUUAGACAAUGGGCGCAAGCCUGAUCUAGCCAUGCCGCGUGGACGAUGAAGGCCUUAGGGUUAUAAAGUCCUUUCAGAUGGGAAGAUAAUGACGGUACCAUCAGAAGAAGCCCCGGNUAACUCCGUG